GGCCUUACCUGGCAGGGGAGAUACCGUGAUCACAAAGGCAGUUCUCCCAGGACCAGUCUAUCCCUUUGUCCUGCGGGUGUGCUGACGGGUGCCAUGCCCCCCAAUGUGGGAUAUUUAACUACAAAAUCUGUGGGAGUGGGGGACAGCAUUUGUGCUAAA